UACGGGGGGGGCAAGCGUUGUUCGGAGUUACUGGGCGUAAAGGGCUCGUAGGCGGCCAACUAAGUCAGACGUGAAAUCCCCAGGCUCAACCUGGGAACUGCGUCUGAUACUGGAUGGCUUGAAUCCGGGAGAGGGAUGCAGAAUUCCAGGUGUAGCGGUGAAAUGCGUAGAUAUCUGGAGGAAUACCAAUGGCGAAGGCAGCUCGCUGGGACGGUACUGACGCUGAGGCGCGAAAGCGUGGGGAGCAAACAGG
rnacentral:rRNA from 1 species